CAAUCGGUGUUUAUAAACACCACCCAAUAUUUAUGGAAUUUUGGUG
rfam:Saprolegnia parasitica CBS 223.65 unplaced genomic scaffold supercont2.30, whole genome shotgun sequence.